rnacentral:rRNA from 1 species
CGUACUGUGCGAACGUUAUUCGGAAUCACUGGGCUUAAAGGGUGCGUAGGCGGCAAUUCAAGUCAGGUGUGAAAUGCCUGAGCUCAACUGAGGCAUUGCGCUUGAAACUGAACUGCUUGAGUAUCCCUGGGGUGUGCGGAACUGCCAGUGGAGCGGUGAAAUGUGUUGAUAUUGGCAGGAACACCGGAGGCGAAAGCGGCACACUGGGGGAUAACUGACGCUGAUGCACGAAAGCCAGGGGAGCGAACGGGAUUAGAUACCCCGGUAGUCCUGGCCGUAAACGAUGAGCACUGGGCGGGAGGGGGUUUCCCUUUUCUGCCGUAGCGAAAGCGUUAAGUGCUCCGCCUGGGGAGUAUGGUCGCAAGGCUG